AAUCAACGCUGGCGGCGUGCCUCAGACAUGCAAGUCGAACGAUUAAGACUCUCUUCGGAGAGUGAAUAAAGUGGCGCACGGGUGAGUAACACGUAGGUAAUGUGCCUUUGGGUGGGAAUAACUUAGGGAAACUUAAGCUAAUACCGCAUAAUGCAGCGGCUCGACAUCGAGACAGUUGUUAAAGAUUUAUCGCCUAAAGAGCAGCCUGCGGCAGAUUAGCUAGUUGGUAAGGUAAUGGCUUACCAAGGCUACGAUCUGUAACCGACCUGAGAGGGUGGUCGGUCACACUGACACUGAAUAACGGGUCAGACUCCUACGGGAGGCAGCAGUCGGGAAUUUUGGGCAAUGGGCGAAAGCCUGACCCAGCAACGCCGCGUGAAGGAUGAAGUAUUUCGGUAUGUAAACUUCGUAAGAAUAGGAAGAAUAAAUGACGGUACUAUUUGUAAGGUCCGGCUAACUACGUGCCAGCAGCCGCGGUAAU
rnacentral:rRNA from 1 species